rnacentral:rRNA from 1 species
UACGUAGGGUCCGAGCGUUGUCCGGAAUUAUUGGGCGUAAAGGGCUCGUGGGCGGUCUGUUGCGUCGGGAGUGAAAACUUACAGCUUAACUGUGAGCGUGCUUCCGAUACGGGCAGACUUGAGGUAUUCAGGGGAGAACGGAAUUCCUGGUGUAGCGGUGAAAUGCGCAGAUAUCAGGAGGAACACCGGUGGCGAAGGCGGUUCUCUGGGAAUAUCCUGACGCUGAGGAGCGAAAGUGUGGGGAGCGAACAGG